rnacentral:rRNA from 1 species
UUAAGCGACUAAGCGUACACGGUGGAUGCCCUGGCAGUCAGAGGCGAUGAAGGACGUGCUAAUCUGCGAUAAGCGUCGGUAAGGUGAUAUGAACCGUUAUAACCGGCGAUUUCCGAAUGGGGAAACCCAGUGUGAUUCGUCACACUAUCAUUAACUGAAUCCAUAGGUUAAUGAGGCGAACCGGGGGAACUGAAACAUCUAAGUACCCCGAGGAAAAGAAAUCAACCGAGAUUCCCCCAGUAGCGGCGAGCGAACGGGGAGGAGCCCAGAGCCUGAAUCAGUGUGUGUGUUAGUGGAAGCGUCUGGAAAGGCGCGCGAUACAGGGUGACAGCCCCGUACACAAAAAUGCACAUGCUGUGAGCUCGAUGAGUAGGGCGGGACACGUGGUAUCCUGUCUGAAUAUGGGGGGACCAUCCUCCAAGGCUAAAUACUCCUGACUGACCGAUAGUGAACCAGUACCGUGAGGGAAAGGCGAAAAGAACCCCGGCGAGGGGAGUGAAAAAGAACCUGAAACCGUGUACGUACAAGCAGUGGGAGCACGCUUCGGCGUGUGACUGCGUACCUUUUGUAUAAUGGGUCAGCGACUUAUAUUCUGUAGCAAGGUUAACCGAAUAGGGGAGCCGAAGGGAAACCGAGUCUUAACUGGGCGUUAAGUUGCAGGGUAUAGACCCGAAACCCGGUGAUCUAGCCAUGGGCAGGUUGAAGGUUGGGUAACACUAACUGGAGGACCGAACCGACUAAUGUUGAAAAAUUAGCGGAUGACUUGUGGCUGGGGGUGAAAGGCCAAUCAAACCGGGAGAUAGCUGGUUCUCCCCGAAAGCUAUUUAGGUAGCGCCUCGUGAAUUCAUCUCCGGGGGUAGAGCACUGUUUCGGCAAGGGGGUCAUCCCGACUUACCAACCCGAUGCAAACUGCGAAUACCGGAGAAUGUUAUUACGGGAGACACACGGCGGGUGCUAACGUCCGUCGUGAAGAGGGAAACAACCCAGACCGCCAGCUAAGGUCCCAAAGUCAUGGUUAAGUGGGAAACGAUGUGGGAAGGCCCAGACAGCCAGGAUGUUGGCUUAGAAGCAGCCAUCAUUUAAAGAAAGCGUAAUAGCUCACUGGUCGAGUCGGCCUGCGCGGAAGAUGUAACGGGGCUAAACCAUGCACCGAAGCUGCGGCAGCGACACUAUGUGUUGUUGGGUAGGGGAGCGUUCUGUAAGCCUGUGAAGGUGGCCUGUGAGGGUUGCUGGAGGUAUCAGAAGUGCGAAUGCUGACAUAAGUAACGAUAAAGCGGGUGAAAAGCCCGCUCGCCGGAAGACCAAGGGUUCCUGUCCAACGUUAAUCGGGGCAGGGUGAGUCGACCCCUAAGGCGAGGCCGAAAGGCGUAGUCGAUGGGAAACAGGUUAAUAUUCCUGUACUUGGUGUUACUGCGAAGGGGGGACGGAGAAGGCUAUGUUGGCCGGGCGACGGUUGUCCCGGUUUAAGCGUGUAGGCUGGUUUUCCAGGCAAAUCCGGAAAAUCAAGGCUGAGGCGUGAUGACGAGGCACUACGGUGCUGAAGCAACAAAUGCCCUGCUUCCAGGAAAAGCCUCUAAGCAUCAGGUAACAUCAAAUCGUACCCCAAACCGACACAGGUGGUCAGGUAGAGAAUACCAAGGCGCUUGAGAGAACUCGGGUGAAGGAACUAGGCAAAAUGGUGCCGUAACUUCGGGAGAAGGCACGCUGAUAUGUAGGUGAAGCGACUUGCUCGUGGAGCUGAAAUCAGUCGAAGAUACCAGCUGGCUGCAACUGUUUAUUAAAAACACAGCACUGUGCAAACACGAAAGUGGACGUAUACGGUGUGACGCCUGCCCGGUGCCGGAAGGUUAAUUGAUGGGGUUAGCGGUAACGCGAAGCUCUUGAUCGAAGCCCCGGUAAACGGCGGCCGUAACUAUAACGGUCCUAAGGUAGCGAAAUUCCUUGUCGGGUAAGUUCCGACCUGCACGAAUGGCGUAAUGAUGGCCAGGCUGUCUCCACCCGAGACUCAGUGAAAUUGAACUCGCUGUGAAGAUGCAGUGUACCCGCGGCAAGACGGAAAGACCCCGUGAACCUUUACUAUAGCUUGACACUGAACAUUGAGCCUUGAUGUGUAGGAUAGGUGGGAGGCUUUGAAGUGUGGACGCCAGUCUGCAUGGAGCCGACCUUGAAAUACCACCCUUUAAUGUUUGAUGUUCUAACGUUGGCCCCUGAUCGGGGUUGCGGACAGUGUCUGGUGGGUAGUUUGACUGGGGCGGUCUCCUCCUAAAGAGUAACGGAGGAGCACGAAGGUUGGCUAAUCCUGGUCGGACAUCAGGAGGUUAGUGCAAUGGCAUAAGCCAGCUUGACUGCGAGCGUGACGGCGCGAGCAGGUGCGAAAGCAGGUCAUAGUGAUCCGGUGGUUCUGAAUGGAAGGGCCAUCGCUCAACGGAUAAAAGGUACUCCGGGGAUAACAGGCUGAUACCGCCCAAGAGUUCAUAUCGACGGCGGUGUUUGGCACCUCGAUGUCGGCUCAUCACAUCCUGGGGCUGAAGUAGGUCCCAAGGGUAUGGCUGUUCGCCAUUUAAAGUGGUACGCGAGCUGGGUUUAGAACGUCGUGAGACAGUUCGGUCCCUAUCUGCCGUGGGCGCUGGAGAACUGAGGGGGGCUGCUCCUAGUACGAGAGGACCGGAGUGGACGCAUCACUGGUGUUCGGGUUGUCAUGCCAAUGGCACUGCCCGGUAGCUAAAUGCGGAAGAGAUAAGUGCUGAAAGCAUCUAAGCACGAAACUUGCCCCGAGAUGAGUUCUCCCUGACUCCUUGAGAGUCCUGAAGGAACGUUGAAGACGACGACGUUGAUAGGCCGGGUGUGUAAGCGCAGCGAUGCGUUGAGCUAACCGGUACUAAUGAACCGUGAGGCUUAACCUU